UGCAGCUUCAGAUUGGCUCAUGCAGGGA
rnacentral:piRNA from 1 species